GAACAAGUUUAUCUCAGUUCACUGAGACAGAGUGGAGGUUGUCUCUACAUUUACCUGUUUCCUUAGAAAGUUCAUUUUGAGUUUUUGUAAUACCUGCUUUGCAUAUGUGGUGUGUCACGCAAAUCUGAGACAUGUCUGUAAAAACAGAUGUAAAAGUGAAACAAGAGUCAUUUGGUUCAGCAGUUUGGCACUGAGAUCAGUUCAGCCACAGAUUUACAUUUUUAGAUAUUUUUUUCUUUUUUAAUCGCUCACUUUAAAAAAAAAAAAAAUUGCUCAUAUUGAGUAGUUUCUUUUGGACCUACAGAGAAAGCAGAUGGAUUAAACCAGCCUCACACUUUUUAUCUUUAUAUGGAUUUUUGUUCCAUCCUGAUGAUCAGACGAGUGUUUGAGGAUUUAACUCUCUUAAGAACAACAGUAAGUGUUUGUGUCUUUUUCUAAAAUCAUUUUCAAUAUUUUAGGUAAAAAGUUUCAGUUGUCAUGGUUACAGUUCAGUUAACAUCCACCCAAAAAAUGUUUGAACAGAAAAACUGUUUCAAAAACGAGUGAGACAACAUUUAAAAUGUAAUUUCAUUUCUAUUAGAUGUUAACCUUGUAAAUCCUGAAACAUGAAAUUAUUUCCAGAAAAAUUCACAUUUUAUUUGUCCAACACAUCAAAUGUGACUCCAACAGGACUUCUGUACGAGACAAUCAAUCUGAAGUGCUGAGUCUGAAUCAGCAGCUGAAAGAUAAAACUUUAUUUAAACCUUAAAUGUAAUCUGAUGUGUUCAGGUUUAAACUCAGGUUCAGUUAUUGAGUGAAAACACCAACAGACUCAGACAUUUAGAACAAACUAAGAGUCAGAUCAGCAGAAACAGAGAACACGGACAUGUCUGCUGUAACUGCGUCACUCUGCUCCACGCUGAUGUUUGUCCUGUUCGUCUCUGCAGACCAGAAAAACAUCACAGCUGAGUCUGCAGAGACGAACAGGACAAACAUCAGCGUGGAGCAGAGUGACGCAGUUACAGCAGACAUGUCCGUGUUCUCUGUUUCUGCUGAUCUGACUCUUAGUUUGUUCUAAAUGUCUGAGUCUGUUGGUGUUUUCACUCAAUAACUGAACCUGAGUUUAAACCUGAACACAUCAGAUUAUAUUUAAGGUUUAAAUAAAGAUCAAAAUUAGCUUAUCUGCCACUCGAUGAUCUCAAAAUGUCCGACUUCUUAGGAAGUUGAGCCAUGUGACGUGUUACGUAGUAACACGUAACCCGUAACGUAGUGACAUGUCACUACGUCCAACAUAACCUCCUACAGUUACGUUGGACUAACGUAGUGACAUGUUACAUAGUGAUUUGUGAUUUCUCACAACAACAGGUUGCGUGGAAUAUUGUUCCACGUGACCUGUUGUUCAGCUGCGUGUUCAAACUCUUCAGCGAUUCAAUCUCUUGUGACGUUGGAUUGUCAAACUCAACACUUCAAACUGAGAUUCAACACCUGAUACAGAAGAAGAAGUCGUGUUCGGUGGACGUUUGAUAUGUUGGACCAGUAAAAUGUGAAUUUUCUAGAAAUUUCGUGUUUCAAGGUUUACAGGGGUAACAUCCUGUAGAAAUUGAAUGACAUUUUAAAUUUUGUCUCAAUCGUUUUUGAAACAGUUUUUCUGUUCAAACAUUUUUGUGGGUGGAUGUUAACUGAACUGUAACCAUGACAACUGAAACUUUUUACCUAAAAAGUUUGACUGAAGAUGAUUGAUCUGAGAAUGAUUUUAGAAAAAGACAGCAAACACUUACUGUUGUUCUUAAGAGAUCUGUUAAAUCCUCAAACACUGGUCUGAUCAUCAGGAUGGAACAAAAAUCCAUAUGAAGAUAAAAACUGUGAGGUUGGUUUAAUCCAUCUGCUUUCUCUGUAGGUCCAAAGCAGUUUGUAAGAAGUGUAAGAAGUCAAUCUGUUGGUGAACUGACCUCUGUGCCAGACAGCUAAACAACUGACUUUCGUUUCACUUUGACGUCCCAUUUAACAGGUAAAGCAGGUUUUACAGUAACAGGAAAUGAACUUUUCCAAGGAAACAAGGAAAUGUAGAGACAACCCUCCACUCUGUCUGUCAGUGAAUUGAGAUCAACUGAAAUGAAUAAAGUCAAAGGUCAUGGCCUCCUUUAGAGCUGUUCUGGAGAACUUUUUCCACCUUUGAUUGUCUUUAGGUUGUAUUGGAGCCACAGAGAGCAAAUCUUUGUUCUUUAUGGAGAACCAGUGAGGCUGUUUGGACUUUCCUAUGAAACAUCAGUGCAGGAGUCUCUCAGUACAUCUGUUUACAGUGAGGGACAAAGAAGGAGCAGAAACACACACAGAGAAAACAUACAUGACUGUAAUCAGAGUACAGGAGAGUAACUGAGUAAAUUUCCUCUUUGUGAUUUAUGUGAUUUUCUUCUUUAUAUUGUGUCAGAUAAAGUCUGGUAGCUUUUGGUUCUUCAGGUGAUAAAACACAUUGAAUCCAUUUCAUAAGAUGUGUUUUCACAGAUGAAACCAGCCCACAGUAAAUCAGAUGGUUUCCACUAACUCCACAUGACCUUCAUCUGUAACCAGUAACCUAUAAGGAGAAGUUUUAAUCCUGGUUCAGAUGGAUUAACAUUAACAAUCUGUUAAUCCACUGAAGCUCACAGACUUCAGUCGACCUGUCAGAUUACCUCAAAGACUGAAAGACGUCAGUUUAAACACUUACUGUUGUUCUGAAGGAUCUGAAACCCUCCAACACUCCUCUGAUCAUCAGGAUGGAAAAAAAAUUGACUUAAAGAUGAAAAAAGAGAAUCAAUUUCUUGAGUGAUUUCCUGCCUUUUAUCAAAUCAAAAAUAGUGGAAACCAUCAGGUGUGGAACUGGGUUCCAGUUGCCCUGGUCAGAGAGUCUGAGGUGAGUGUGGUUCUGUUUGCCUUUAUGGGCGAGUUUUUAUAUGAGCCAUCACACACCACCCAACUGUUUUUUUUUGUUUUUGUUUUUCCAAAAAGAAAUUGUGCGUAUGUUUUUUUCUUUCUUAUCUACCAUGUGAAUCACUGUUGUAUGUGCAUGUGUGUGGCCACUUUGUGGAAACAUGAAGGGCUCUAAUGAUGCAGUAACUUCAUUGUUAGUGGAAGUAAGCAGCAUGCAGUGCAUUGUGGACACAGUCACUGGUGGGGAUGUUCAGUGGUGAGUCUGUGUUUUUGUGUUCUGUUCCUUUUCUUUUGUGAAACACAUGAUCAAAGAGUUUAUGAGACGCUGUGUUUGUCCACAGUGACAACCUCAGCACAUGUGAUUGGAUCAGUAAUGGCAGCUUUGAGUCUCACAUGGUUGGUGUUUCAUGGGUGGCUGGAGUCACAGUUUCACUCCAAUGUUAAAAAAACCUUUAAAUACUCUUCAUAGUAUAAAUAACAUAUAUAAAUGUUAAGCUGUUCUCACAAACUCAACGAAUGUUCUUUUCUCUGAUUAUGCAUAAAAACAGGAACAGUGUAUUGUGUUGGGGAUGUUCGGUUCAGAGUUCCAAAGCAUACACAGAUUUCUAUGCGAGGCAAAUUUCUCUCCAUAUGUGAACCUGCAGGUAAAGUAGAGGCAAAGCUGUUCCUGUGAAAUGAAAGUGAAAGCCUCUCUGAGUCUCCCUGUAGAAAAUGGAGGCUGAGCUCAGUCAGAAUGGAGGAGUGUUUGAGACGUGCAGAUAAACAGUCACAGCUUUGUGUCGGCCUCUGAGGGCUCAGGGCCGUCCUGUUGUCAUGGUAUCAAGUGCAUGACGCCUCUCUGCACACAUUUCUUAUUCACAUUUUCUAUAAGUCCUCAUCAGGACCAUGUAGAUUUGGAUUUUUUUUCCCUUAAUUACAAACAUCUCCAUUUAGAAACUGGAUUUUGUGUUUUCUUUGUUUGAUAUUUAAAUCUGUUUGAUCUUGUGGUAUCAAAAGGAAUUAUUUGUUUAUAUAAAUAUAUUUGUUUGUGUAUCCAUUGUUAUUGUAGGAUGGAUCUGUUGGACUGUAUGCAGGGUAUUAUUUACAAGUACAGACAUCUGAAGAACACACUGAUAGAAUGAGUGUGAUAAUAGUGUGUUGCUCUACUGGUAAUGCCCGGUGAGGCAGUAUCGGUGCUGUGUUACGUGAAUGUCCCGUAAAAAGGUGGAAGAAGAGAGUGUCCUGUAGGAGGCAGUGGCUGUGUCCCAAUUCAGCGUCUGCACGCUUGUAGUACGCACACUACGCGUACUAUGUACGGUGCAUACUACAAGUACGCGAGAAACGUGUCAUACAGCAGUGUGUGACAGAAAUGAAGGAGAAAAAAUGUUUUGUUGGUCCUUCAUUUUUGUCAUGACAUCACUUUGAUUAGUUGAGACCACAGGACUGUAAAACAUGAUAGUUGGGCUUCAUUCCUGUACUGAACAGUCAUUUCAAGAUUAGUUAGUAAAUAAUAAUUAGCUAAUGUUGUUCAUGAGACUAAAGUCAUCUCACUGUGGUAAUGUUAAUAUAAUAUGGCCAAUAUUAUAUGUAUUGUCAGACUAUAUAUAUAUAUAUAUAUAUAUAUAUAUAUACAUAUAUAUAUAUAUAUGGAUUUUUUGUUCACAUUCUGUCUCUCACAGUUGACAUGUACCUCUGGUGCAAAUUACUGGCCUCUGUCAUCAUUUUAGGUGGGGGCACUUGCACAAUCGGUGGCUGACUAAAUACUUUUUUGCCCCACUGUAUAUAUAUAUAUAUAUAUAUACACACAUAUAUAUGAGCUUGAACUCUGGGUCAAAGGUGCAAGUAGCAGUUAUUUAUAUUUCCUAUGACCUUAAAUCUUCACUCAAAGACAAAUAUCUCUGACAGUGUAUAUAUAGAUGUAUUAUACAUAAGAGACAAACAUUGUUCUUUUAAUAUGUUGUCAUUACUAAAUUUGGCUCAAUGCUCACAUAUAUGUGUAAAAAGGAAAAUGUACGAGCUGUGAUAACUGUUUCUGAUAGAAUGAAGAGUAGACUGAUAUAUGAAAUAUUCCUUUAUUGGGUGAGAAAAUCAGACCAUGUCAUAACUGCUUUAAGUCAUACAGAAUAGAUAUCAGAGCCUUAAACAGGCUGACUUCUGUUAAAUGGGUCAAACUGGGCAGAAAGUCUACAAACACAUAACAUCCUUAUAGAAUAUGAUGUAACACUAAAGAUCAACUUACCUCAGAAUAUAUAAAGCAUACUAUACGAAUCCACAUCCCAAUGUAAUGAACAAACGCACCCACUGAUGUAUAUAAAUAAAGACCAGGGCAGUGGCAGGGCGUGAGUCUCAGAGCCCUCACUUCUGUGCGAGUGCUGUGGCUGCCCUUGCUUGCAAGUAACUAACUGCAGUGUGUGUUUCUCCUGAUUCGAAGCUGAAGAAGAGUUAUUUAGAAUAAAUCUCUUGACAUAACGAGAGGAGAAGGCAUGUGUUCGGCUCCUUCACAUAGUGGACAUUGAGUUGUUGUGAGGGGCAACAGUAGUCCAUGUCUGCUGCUGUAACAGUAGUUCAUGUUUAGAAUAAAAAAUCCCAGCUCACUGACUUGAUCGGGGCAAUAGUGCCUAAAAUGUUGCAUAAUUUUGCUGAGAGAUCUUUUACUUUGUGGUAAUCUUAGAUGAGUAGUUUUAUGGACAAAAACCAGCAGGUCAUUCAGUGUUCCCUUAGUGCUAAUGUAUAAGAGAUGUUGGUGCACUAUAACUGAAGUAAUGUUGUUAAGUCCUUAAAGUCAUAUUCUUUUAUUGUCGUGACGCUAUUUUUUUCUAUUUUUGUAUGAUAUCUGAUUUACAUGGA
rnacentral:lncRNA from 1 species